rnacentral:rRNA from 1 species
ACGGAAGGCAGCAGUGGGGAAUAUUGGGCAAUGGGCGCAAGCCUGACCCAGCAACGCCGCGUGAAGGAUGAAGGUCUUCGGAUUGUAAACUUCUUUGAUCAGGGACGAAUUUUGACGGUACCUGAAGAACAAGUCACGGCUAACUACGUGCCAGCAGCCGCGGUAAUACGUAGGUGACAAGCGUUAUCCGGAUUUACUGGGUGUAAAGGGCGUGUAGGCGGUUUUGCAAGUCAGAAGUGAAAUUCCCGGGCUCAACUUGGGCGCUGCUUCUGAAACUGCAGAACUUGAGUACUGGAGAGGAUAGUGGAAUUCCUAGUGUAGUGGUAAAAUGCGUAGAUAUUAGGAGGAACACCGGUGGCGAAGGCGGCUAUCUGGACAGUAACUGACGCUGAGGCGCGAAAGCGUGGGGAGCAAACAGGAUUAGAUACCCUGGUA